GUAUUUUGAGCUUCGAAUUGCAUGAUUUGGUUGACUAGUUUAGGAGAUAUGCUGAAAUGAAGUUUGAUGAUGAAUGGCAUUUGUGCUCGAUUCUUGAGUUAUGUUGUGUUUUAAUGAAAAUUGAUGGUAGAUUCAUGUUAUUCAUGCUUUGCUGAUCAUUUCUGUAUAUCCAAUUUCAUUUUCUGGAAAAAAAAUUGUUGAGCUCGAUUUGGGAAAGAUGAAGUUCAUGCUGUUCAUGUAGAAACCCUAACUGUUCAUUCAUUGCCCAGAUUUU
rnacentral:lncRNA from 1 species